rnacentral:tRNA from 1 species
GAUCAAUUCUUUCAUUGGUAGAAUGCUAGCCUGCCACGCGGGCGGCCCGGGUUCGAUUCCCGGCCCA